AAGGGGAAGUCUGGAAAACAACGCCUUACCAAGUGGCUGCUGAAAUUAGUCAGGAACUGGCUGAAAGCACAGUAAUAGCCAAAGUCAAUGGUGAACUGUGGGACCUGGACCGCCCAUUGGAAGGGGACUCUUCUCUAGAGCUGCUUACAUUUGAUAAUGAGGAAGCUCAAGCUGUGAGUAUUUAAAAACCAGACAGCCAAACUUUGGGUGGUUAUGUUGUAAACUAAAUUAUAUAAAAGGCCACAUAUUGAAGUCACGAAUGUUGAGUUUUUUGGGGGUUUCUAAGAUUUAAAAUUUGAAUAUUGAUGUUUAAUAAAUAUUUGUGGCAUGAAUGU
rnacentral:sRNA from 1 species